GUCCACGCCCUAAACUAUGUCGACUAGUUGUUGGGGGAAUUUGUCCCUCAGUAACGUAGCUAACGCGUGAAGUCGACCGCCUGGGGAGUACGGUCGCAAGAUUAAAACUCAAAGGAAUUGACGGGGACCCGCACAAGCGGUGGAUUAUGUGGAUUAAUUCGAUGCAACGCGAAGAACCUUACCUACCCUUGACAUGCCAGGAACCCUGCAGAGAUGUAGGGGUGCCCGAAAGGGAACCUGGGCACAGGUGCUGCAUGGCUGUCGU
rnacentral:rRNA from 1 species